rnacentral:rRNA from 1 species
AUUGAACGCUGGCGGCAUGCCUUACACAUGCAAGUCGAACGGCAGCACGGAGCUUGCUCUGGUGGCGAGUGGCGAACGGGUGAGUAAUAUAUCGGAACGUACCCUAGAGUGGGGGAUAACGUAGCGAAAGUUACGCUAAUACCGCAUACGAUCUAAGGAUGAAAGUGGGGGAUCGCAAGACCUCAUGCUCGUGGAGCGGCCGAUAUCUGAUUAGCUAGUUGGUAGGGUAAAAGCCUACCAAGGCAUCGAUCAGUAGCUGGUCUGAGAGGACGACCAGCCACACUGGAACUGAGACACGGUCCAGACUCCUACGGGAGGCAGCAGUGGGGAAUUUUGGACAAUGGGCGAAAGCCUGAUCCAGCAAUGCCGCGUGAGUGAAGAAGGCCUUCGGGUUGUAAAGCUCUUUUGUCAGGGAAGAAACGGUGAAAGCUAAUAUCUCUUGCUAAUGACGGUACCUGAAGAAUAAGCACCGGCUAACUACGUGCCAGCAGCCGCGGUAAUACGUAGGGUGCAAGCGUUAAUCGGAAUUACUGGGCGUAAAGCGUGCGCAGGCGGUUUUGUAAGUCUGAUGUGAAAUCCCCGGGCUCAACCUGGGAAUUGCAUUGGAGACUGCAAGGCUAGAAUCUGGCAGAGGGGGGUAGAAUUCCACGUGUAGCAGUGAAAUGCGUAGAUAUGUGGAGGAGCACCGAUGGCGAAGGCAGCCCCCUGGGUCAAGAUUGACGCUCAUGCACGAAAGCGUGGGGAGCAAACAGGAUUAGAUACCCUGGUAGUCCACGCCCUAAACGAUGUCUACUAGUUGUCGGGUCUUAAUUGACUUGGUAACGCAGCUAACGCGUGAAGUAGACCGCCUGGGGAGUACGGUCGCAAGAUUAAAACUCAAAGGAAUUGACGGGGACCCGCACAAGCGGUGGAUGAUGUGGAUUAAUUCGAUGCAACGCGAAAAACCUUACCUACCCUUGACAUGGCUGGAAUCCUCGAGAGAUUGAGGAGUGCUCGAAAGAGAACCAGUACACAGGUGCUGCAUGGCUGUCGUCAGCUCGUGUCGUGAGAUGUUGGGUUAAGUCCCGCAACGAGCGCAACCCUUGUCAUUAGUUGCUACGAAAGGGCACUCUAAUGAGACUGCCGGUGACAAACCGGAGGAAGGUGGGGAUGACGUCAAGUCCUCAUGGCCCUUAUAGGUAGGGCUUCACACGUCAUACAAUGGUACAUACAGAGCGCCGCCAACCCGCGAGGGGGAGCUAAUCGCAGAAAGUGUAUCGUAGUCCGGAUUGUAGUCUGCAACUCGACUGCAUGAAGUUGGAAUCGCUAGUAAUCGCGGAUCAGCAUGUCGCGGUGAAUACGUUCCCGGGUCU